UGUCUUUUUGAAAAUAAUAUAAAGUCUAAUCUGCCCACUGAUUUUAAUUGAAGGGCUGCAGUAUAUUGACUGUACAAAGGUAGCAUAAUCAUUAGUCAUUUAAUUGGUGACUUGUAUGAAGGAUUGGAUGAGAUAUAAUCUGUCUCUUAAUUAUAAAGUAGAAUUUAAUUUUUUAAUUAAAAAGUUAAAAUAUGUUAAAAAGACGAGAAGACCCUAUAGAGUUUUAUAAUUUAAGAUAAUUAAGAUUAUUUAUAAAAUAAAAAUUGAAAUUAUUUUAUUUAUUUUGUUGGGGUGACAGAAAAAUAUAAAAAACUUUUUAUAUAGAAAAACAUUGAUAAAUGAUUAGAUGAUCCAAUAUUAUUGAUUAUAAGAAAAAAUUACCUUAGGGAUAACAGCGUAAUUUUUUUUUUUAGUUCACAUAAAAAAAAGAGUUUGCGACCUCGAUGUUGGAUUAAGAUAAAAUUUAAAUGCAGAAG
rnacentral:rRNA from 1 species